rnacentral:sRNA from 1 species
AGCACCAAUCAGCACUUUCGGAUGAGCGGACUAUUCAAUAUUGGGCUCGUAAUCGACUUCAAGACGAAGAAACGAAGCGGAUGUAGUGCCUCUUGUGAUUGAGAUUCUCCAUCGCGACAUGCUCACACGCACAAAGGAAACCGAUUCUUCAAGGACGAAGGUGAAACGGCAACAGUUUCCCAAAUGAAAUCCUCUCUAGGAAUUGGAAAUUGGCAAAUAUUCCUGUGGCAAAGGUGACUCUGCAGGCAUCAAUGACAGAGAGCUGAGACGCACCUACGGACCUACGGAAGGACCACUUUGAGCCAACCGAUGUGCAGCUAAUCAAGCACUCCUCAUCUCCAAUGACACCACAACCCAGCACACCCCCUAGAAGUCAAUCGUAUGAAGGCAUUCAUUUCUCAAGCGUACCCAGGAUGCACCUCUAUCAUCGAGGGUCAGGCAUUGCAGAGUUGUGUUGGCAUUAGUGGAACGUUUAUUCAACGGCGCAGCAUUUGUCUCCCAGUAGAGACCCAGUAGUCAUACGGGGGACAAAUGAAGGCCAUAGACAGACAGAUAGACAGAGUGCCGCAGUAAAUGCAUUCGGUCUUUUUCAUGAAUCCUUGGCUACUCUGAACUAUCGAUGGAUCGGCUUUGGGUAUUUUUUGAGCAGAGAAACGUUUCGGUGGAAAAAUCUGGCAAUCCUCGCCAUCACUGGAACCUACAUACAACCUGUGUACUCGUAUCUUCAAGCGGACAUCUGCAAGAAAAGACGACUACCAUUUUGAUAACAGGCUAAGCCACAUCAAUGGCAUUGCCUUGAAGAGGUAGUAGGGAAAAUGGGAAGGCCUUCAAAUGCGAGCUGCCAGGAGGAGCAACGGGGCGGUCCUCGCGUCUGAAGACCUGGAUGAAUCUCUCCAACUGGUGGAAGAGCAGGCCCAGCGUGGAGAGGCUGCUGUCAGGAGGAGUUGCCAGAAUAGUUAAGGAGGAAGAUGCACAAGAAGGAAACUAUGGAACUCACUUGUAGGACGGGUGACCAUCCAUCCAACGAAUCAGAUGUGUCCACGAUGAUGUUGGUCAGGGACAAGGCAGCUUCUUUCUGUUCCUUGGAGCUGCUAUCAUCACUAUAGAAUCACUAUAGUUUUUGUAUUUGGAAGUAUAUUGGAAGCAUGUAAUUAUGUCAAUUAAAGUAACGACUCAACAUCCUGCAUACCGACUGGGCAUAUAUCCCUAAGUCUGCGACCCUUCGCUGUUAGUCUCUUAACAAUUGUAUAGUUUUCUCCAUCUUUGCAGACUCUUCUUUAAGCGCAGGACCUUUAAAUCAUUAAAAAUCAUU